rnacentral:lncRNA from 1 species
GCCUAGUACUUCCAUUGCAUCCUUACACGUCAGUAGCGAACGGCUGCAAUGUUUAGUCACAUAGCGAGCCUCUGAUUACCAGCUAAUUUCGUGUACCGAUCAUUUUCUCCCCUCCAGGGAGUUCCGUCUGUGUAAAAGCACGGGCGGCUACUAUAGGGGACAAGUGUAAACGUGGACAUGAAGUGGCCUCCAAGGCUGCACGUCUCCGGCCUGUCUAGUUUCAGCGGGGAUACCAACGAAUCAGCUGGAUAUGUUGUGAGAGAAGACAGUGGCCCGUUCGAAUCUGCUGCAGAUGGAUCGAGCUUCAUGGUGGAGAGAUGCGACGUGCCAACUGUUUUGCGUGAAAUUCAGGGUUCGGUUUUUCGCCACUCCAGGUCAAGCACGUGUGCCGCGCCAUGCAAGGUAAACGCGACACCAUGCCACCUUGUCACUGCGGGUGAAAAGUUGUUACCGCAGAUCGUCUGAACAGUUUAGAUCUUCGCUGCCUCGUUAUAAAAAUGCCACUGCGAAGAUAAGAUGUCUUAUGCGUUCCACUUGAGACCGACUGCUGGGCUCUCGGCGACGUUGUCUGACAGUUGAUACGGAGAAACUAGACACUGUGAGGCCGCUCGAAUCAGCCAGACACAGCAGGAGGUAUGCUAUCGUAAUGGAUAUGUGAUGACCGCAGAGAGACUUCAACUUGCACCUACUCCAGAGGCAACAUGCAAGGAUACUUUCCUGUCCUCUCAGCGAGGCGAUAACAGAACACAGGACAUUCGAGAUAGACAAUUUGCUCACGAAAAAUUCCCCCGACUUGUCGGAGUCAGUUGAAUUGUGGUGGUACGAUGCAGUUAUUUGUCUUGGUAUUUCCUUUUCCACGUGGAUUUGGAUGCUCGCCCCACCCCACUUGUUUUGUCUUUCUAGAGAAGCACACAGGUUCAACCGGAUGCAUGAUGCAUCAUCCUCACUUCCUCCUUCAGGAACUUCCCCGCCAGAGGGUGCUUUCCCUCGCUGUGAAAUGAAUGGAGGGUACGAAAAAUGUUUUGCAUCCUUGGAUACCGAUCAUUUGUGAUAGCAAAGGUUCCGAACUCUUACAUCUAGAUCUUCAAUGGCGUGACCACACGCUUCGUUUGGUGCAUCACGCUGGAGAGGGGAUUGUUUCAGAGGUGUGAUGUUCCAACGUGUGGUAACUGUCUCUCGGAAACUGGUUGUUCGUACCUGAGGAGAACGCGUUCAAGACAAAUCUGACGCUCUGAGGUUUUGGCUCGGCGGCUGAACCAGAGAAGCUGCAGAAAACGAGCUAGAGUGACAUCGGUAAGUCUCCUGCACUGGUCUUGCUCAAAGAGUGCAGACUGAUUCACUGCCGUGCAAACACACCAGGACCGUAUGCCCGUGCCAGAUGAAAGGCACAUCAACUCCUUCAAAAAGUCCUCGGUUGAAGGAUUGAAAUAUCCAUACGUGUCAACUUUUCCGUCCGACAAGUAUGCUGUGUUGGAGCACGUUGGGACAGGGAAGGACAUAUACGUAACCAGCCGAUAUCGGUCGACAAGGCUGUGUCAGCAGGCACAGUCGCGCUGUGAAAACAAUUCUAGUGGUCUCCAUUAAUUUACUACGCAAGCGUGCUAUGUCUACAGAUGUAGCCGCACUACCAGGAUGGAGCUCUACGAAAACGCAACGCUCAAACCCCAGACGCGUGUGCGCUUCUAAAACAUCUCCGUUCCAGAACCACGGACGGCAAUGCAACGUAGCGGCAGCGAGUCCAUCGGUCGUGCAGAAUUAGAUAAACUCGCCUGAGCGCUUGUAGAUGCAUUUUUACACUGCAAAGAGAUUCACGACCGUAAGCAAGUCCUUUCCGCUGAGUCCCGGUGGCCGGUGCUUGUACUUUAUAGAACUACGUAGCUUCAACGGACAG